GACGAACGCUGGCGGCGUGCUUAACACAUGCAAGUCGAACGGAAAGGCCCUGCUUUUGCGGGGUGCUCGAGUGGCGAACGGGUGAGUAACACGUGAGUAACCUGCCCUUGACUUUGGGAUAACUUCAGGAAACUGGGGCUAAUACCGGAUAGGAGCUCCUGCUGCAUGGUGGGGGUUGGAAAGUUUCGGCGGUUGGGGAUGGACUCGCGGCUUAUCAGCUUGUUAGUGGGGUAGUGGCUUACCAAGGCUUUGACGGGUAGCCGGCCUGAGAGGGUGACCGGCCACAUUGGGACUGAGAUACGGCCCAGACUCCUACGGGAGGCAGCAGUGGGGAAUAUUGCACAAUGGGCGGAAGCCUGAUGCAGCAACGCCGCGUGCGGGAUGACGGCCUUCGGGUUGUAAACCGCUUUCGCCUGUGACGAAGCGUGAGUGACGGUAAUGGGUAAAGAAGCACCGGCUAACUACGUG
rnacentral:rRNA from 1 species